rnacentral:rRNA from 1 species
GACGAACGCUGGCAGCGUGCUUAACACAUGCAAGUCGAACGGAAAGGCCCUGCUCUUGUGGGGUGCUCGAGUGGCGAACGGGUGAGUAACACGUGAGUAACCUGCCCUUGACUUUGGGAUAACUUCAGGAAACUGGGGCUAAUACCGGAUAGGAGCUCCUGCUGCAUGGUGGGGGUUGGAAAGUUUCGGCGGUUGGGGAUGGACUCGCGGCUUAUCAGCUUGUUGGUGGGGUAGUGGCUUACCAAGGCUUUGACGGGUAGCCGGCCUGAGAGGGUGACCGGCCACAUUGGGACUGAGAUACGGCCCAGACUCCUACGGGAGGCAGCAGUGGGGAAUAUUGCACAAUGGGCGGAAGCCUGAUGCAGCAACGCCGCGUGCGGGAUGACGGCCUUCGGGUUGUAAACCGCUUUCGCCUGUGACGAAGCGUGAGUGACGGUAAUGGGUAAAGAAGCACCGGCUAACUACGUG